ACUCUUUUAGUAUAAACAAUACAAGUGACUUCCACUCAUUUAAUCUUGAUUUCAAGAAAGAGCA
rnacentral:tRNA from 1 species